AUAUUUAUUCUUGUAGGCCGGAGAUUCAGAUAACCAAAUUCGCUAUCCUUUUACUUAUUCUCUGCAAACCUAACGACGUUAAAGUUUGAUUUUACAAUCACAUUUUUUUCUCUAUUUUUUUAAUUUUUUGCAGGACAUGCUCAUUUCUUUUGAUGGUGAUCUUACAUGUUCAAGAGGAGAAGAUCGAAUUUCAAGAUUUGUACGUACCUGUUGAUCUAAUUAAACCCUCAAAUUUCAUUGUCCUCGAAGAAACUAGAAAUGCAGAAUCUAGAAGAUUGUAUUUUGAUCUCGAUUCAUUAUUUUAACGUGUAUGUAGGGUAGACAAUCUCGACCUUUGCCAUGUUGGGUGCGCUCGCAUGGCAGGUCACCUAAUAAAGAAGAAUCACUUUUUUUGGGUUGGGAGAGGAGAUCGCAUGGGAAUUGGGAUGAUAUAUUAAUUUCCCCCCAUUUUGAUAGUCCCAGGAUCAUCCUCUCCAAGAUCGGGCUUUGUGUUCUGAUCUUUUCUCCAUGGAUUGUUAUUCUUUCAUUAUCCAUUAUCCUUCCUCCCAUGCAACUUCACUCACCGACAUAAUCGAUUAAAGAUAAUAACCUGAACUCUAACCCUAACCCAUAUCCUACAAACGAGAUAUACAUUGAAUUUAAACUAAUUACGAUCUAUGAGUAAUCCGAUCCCACAAAAUGAAACGAAUGAGUUGCUAAUCUUCAAUUGAUCACCAUUCAAAUCGUCAAUCAAGGUAUAGCGCUCAUAUGCUUUCCAUUUCGCUUCGUAUAUAUAUAUAUACAUUUCGCUUCAUAUAUAUACAUUUCGCUUCGUAUAUAUAUAUAUAGCUUCAUUUUUUAUAAUUCAAAAAAUAAUAUUGUGAGAUUUAUAUUUAAAGAUAAUUGUGUUACUCCAGAAGAAUAUUUAUUUAUUUAAUUAUUAGAAUUGUCUCUAGAUGAAUAAUUACUGUUUUUUUUGGGAGAAAUGGAGAUAUUGUAUAUCACACACACACAUAUAUAUAGGGUCAGAUUCAGAUGAGAUAAGGGUUCAUGAGAUAUUAUGUGAUCAUGACCCCUCAAGUAAAAAUUUCGAUUUACCGUUUGAUGAAAAUCCGAAGGCUGAUAUGACAAAAUCUCAUGGACUAUUGUCUCAUCGAUCUAAUUUUUAUCCCAUGCAUAUUUGAUGGAUGAUAUUGCUCGCGAUCGGGAAACAAAACUCUGGGGUGAUAAUAAAGAGGCCGCGGGUAUGUUGCAUUCGAAGGUGCAGAAGAAAAUAAAUACUAUGGACUUCUGACUUAGGUAUAUACUUAUCUCAAAACAAUGUGAUUGAAAAAUUGACAAAGGAAUGCAAAAUAGAACAUUUAAUUUAAAAUAUCUUAAUUAACAUUAUUUUUGUAGAAUGAAGAAGUUGGUAAUCGAUAAAGUUUGAUUAUUGCGAUGUUUGCAAGGCUACCCAUAGUUCGACUAUAUAAUUGAAGGCCGUUGGUAUUGAAAUCAACGAUCCCAUACAUUUCUUGUACUUGGAGCAAGAGAUUGUACAUUAAUCAAUCCCAAAUUAUUGAAACUCUAAAGUGGCGACUUUGCCUAACCCCAAGAGAUCGACGAUGAGUAAUGUAAAAUUAGCCACGGAUUUAAUCAAAGGGCUUUGAAAAUUGGUUCUGAACACAAGUCUUAUUUCUUGUUGUGAUGGCAAGAAAUAUAUAAGAAAAAUUAGGGUUUUCAAAAAUUAUUAUUUAUUUACUUUGAAAAAAAUCAUAUACUUGAUAAGUGCUUUUUAUAUUCUUUUUUUGUUUAUAAACAAAAAUUCUAACUUAUUUUCUUUGCAUCCAUUUUGUAUUGAAAAUCACUACAAAAAAUAAGAUACUGUGAAACAGAUUACUGACGAAUUAAAGAUGAUCGAUGGUAGAAAUCUCUUGUAUUCAGGACUAUCACCAAAAUACGAGUUCUAUCACUAAUAGACCGUCGACAAAAGAGACUCCAUGAUUCUCACCUAAAAAGCAGAUUUGAAUUUCGUGGUCAAAAUCCACCACUGAUGAUAUUUUUUCAACGAGUAGUAAAAAAAUUCCGAAAUUUUUAUACAUUAAAAAUUUAAUUUAUAAAUUAAUAAUAGAAGAUAAUUUAAUUAUGAGUAUUUUGAGUUCUGAAUAUAACUUUUUUAUAUAUAUGGUUAAUUUCUAACCAUUUUCAAAAUAUUGUAUCACUAUAAGAAAGAAAGUUAUUUAAAAUAAGGAUUGGUUUUUAGUGAGAAUGGUUAUAAAAUAAUGGGUGAGAAUGUAAAUCUCAUCCAUCCAUUCUUAUGGGUAUAUAUGUAUACUUUUAUAUAUUUGAAAGUAUGAGAGACCAACCUCCUGAGACCACGUAUUUAGUUACUGUAUAACUAGACUACAUAGCUAAUGAAAGAGAGUCAAUGAGUUUCUUACUCGUUCUUUUUAAUAAAUUUAAUUGCUUUCAAAAAAAAACUUUUAUAUAUUUUAUUAUUAUUUGAUUUUACCGUUGGAUUAGAUUUUGUCGGUCAAAUGAAUUCAUUCUCAAAUAGUGUUGAAAUAAGACUUUCUCAUGUGAACCUUGCCUUUUAAAAUAAUCCAACACCUAUAAAAAUGUCCCAUUCUAAAGAGACUUUAGUUGUUUUGCAAUCCCUGGACUGGGUUAAGUUGUUGAUCGAUCAGAUCUAGAGCAUUAACUAAUUAACUGAUAAUUCAGGGAUCUGACUAUCUGAUUUCUUGAUUUAUGAGCAAGGAUCUCACUAUUGGGAGCGACAUCGUCUCUGCUUGGGAAGAGAUGACAACGACAAUUGAUUCAUAGUAUGAAUCGAGCCCUCCAAGGACAUAAACGACCACUUCCGAUGUCUCAGUCUUGACUCUGACAGUUCGUAAAUCGUCAACUAGCCUUUUGAUUUUGGUUAGAUACUCAUCAAUUGGAGAGUCACCUUUCUUGAUUUGUUGCAAUUGCUGUCUGAUUUGCAAUAUCCGGGAUCCAGAAGUGCAUGCAUGCAUUUCUUGGAGUUGUUUCCAAGUUACGUCGGAAGUUUCAACGCCGGCAACCUACGUGAGGAUGUGUGACUGGAACGAUGAGAAGAUCCAUCCCAGUAAAAGCUGAUCUUGCUGAAUCUUCAGUGUAUCAUCAAGGAUGACUGAACCAUCUACAUAAGAUAAGAGGCCAUAUCCCUUCAAGAGCGUGCUGAACUACUUCCGCCAAGUGAAGAAAUUCGUUAUGGCGAGUUUCUAUGCUUGCAGGUACUUGAUUUUCACAAGUUUGGAAGAGCUACCGACGUUCAUCAUGGCGAUUUGCAGAAUAAGUACCCAAUCGUUACCUAACAAUCUGAUACCAUAUUACAAUCAAUGAGCUUGACUGAAUUCAUUGUAUUUCACACUCCUCAAUUAAUACAUGUUUCUAUAUAUCUAUUUAUAAUAGUAUUCAAUUAAAUAACUAAUUAAUUGAUAAUCCAG
rnacentral:lncRNA from 1 species